GAGGGUAUAGCUCAUUGGUAGAGUUCAUGCCUAGCAUGCAUGAGGUCCUGGGUUCAAUUCCCAGUACCUACA
rnacentral:tRNA from 1 species